rnacentral:rRNA from 1 species
GAUGAACGCUGGCGGCGUGCCUAAUACAUGCAAGUCGAGCGAAUGGAUUAAGAGCUUGCUCUUAUGAAGUUAGCGGCGGACGGGUGAGUAACACGUGGGUAACCUGCCCAUAAGACUGGGAUAACUCCGGGAAACCGGGGCUAAUACCGGAUAACAUUUUGAACCGCAUGGUUCGAAAUUGAAAGGCGGCUUCGGCUGUCACUUAUGGAUGGACCCGCGUCGCAUUAGCUAGUUGGUGAGGUAACGGCUCACCAAGGCAACGAUGCGUAGCCGGUAUGAGGGGGUGGUCGGCGACACUGGGACUGAGGAACGGCACAGGGUCCAGCGGGAUGCAGCAGUAAGGAGUCGUCCGAAAUGGACGAAAGUCUGACGGAGCAACGCCGCGUGAGUGAUGAAGGCUUUCGGGUCGUAAAACUCUGUUGUUAGGGAAGAACAAGUGCUAGUUGAAUAAGCUGACACCUUGACGGUACCUAUCCAGAAAGCCACGGCUAACUACGUGCCAGCAGCCGCAGUAA